rnacentral:rRNA from 1 species
AGAGUUUGAUCAUGGCUCAGAUUGAACGCUGGCGGCAGGCUUAACACAUGCAAGUCGAGCGGGGAUUGGGUGCUUGCACCUAAUCUUAGCGGCGGACGGGUGAGUAAUGCUUAGGAAUCUGCCAUUUAGUGGGGGACAACAUUCCGAAAGGGAUGCUAAUACCGCAUACGCCCUACGGGGGAAAGCAGGGGAUCUUCGGACCUUGCGCUAAAUGAUGAGCCUAAGUCGGAUUAGCUAGUUGGUGGGGUAAAGGCCUACCAAGGCGACGAUCUGUAGCGGGUCUGAGAGGAUGAUCCGCCACACUGGGACUGAGACACGGCCCAGACUCCUACGGGAGGCAGCAGUGGGGAAUAUUGGACAAUGGGCGCAAGCCUGAUCCAGCCAUGCCGCGUGUGUGAAGAAGGCCUUUUGGUUGUAAAGCACUUUAAGCGAGGAGGAGGCUACUUGGAUUAAUACUCUGAGAUAGUGGACGUUACUCGCAGAAUAAGCACCGGCUAACUCUGUGCCAGCAGCCGCGGUAAUACAGAGGGUGCGAGCGUUAAUCGGAUUUACUGGGCGUAAAGCGUGCGUAGGCGGCUGAUUAAGUCGGAUGUGAAAUCCCUGAGCUUAACUUAGGAAUUGCAUUCGAUACUGGUCAGCUAGAGUAUGGGAGAGGAUGGUAGAAUUCCAGGUGUAGCGGUGAAAUGCGUAGAGAUCUGGAGGAAUACCGAUGGCGAAGGCAGCCAUC